rnacentral:rRNA from 1 species
GACGUAGGAUGCAAGCGUUGUCCGGAUUUAUUGGGCGUAAAGAGUUCGUAGGUGGUUCGUUAAGUCUGAUGUUAAAGACUGGGGCUCAACCCUGGAAGUGCAUUGGAUACUGGCGGACUUGAGUGUGGUAGAGGCAAUCGGAAUUCCAGGUGUAGCGGUGAAAUGCGUAGAUAUCUGGAAGAACACCGGUGGCGCAAGCGGAUUGCUGGGCCAUAACUGACACUGAGGAACGAAAGCUAGGGGAGCGAACAGG